UACGGAGGGAGCUAGCGUUGUUCGGAAUUACUGGGCGUAAAGCGCACGUAGGCGGCUUUGUAAGUUAGAGGUGAAAGCCCGGGGCUCAACCCCGGAAUUGCCUUUAAGACUGCAUCGCUUGAAUCCGGGAGAGGUGAGUGGAAUUCCGAGUGUAGAGGUGAAAAUUCGUAGAUAUUGGGAAGAACACCGGUGGCGAAGGCGGCGACCUGGUCCGUUGACUGACGCUGGAGGCGCGAAAGCGUGGGGAGCAAACAGG
rnacentral:rRNA from 1 species